rnacentral:rRNA from 1 species
UACGUAGGGGGCAAGCGUUGUCCGGAUUUAUUGGGCGUAAAGAGCGUGUAGGCGGCCAGGUAGGUCUGGUGUGAAAACUCGAGGCUUAACCUCGAGAUGUCAUCGGAAACCAUCUGGCUAGAGUCCGGGAGAGGAGAGUGGAAUUCCUGGUGUAGCGGUGAAAUGCGCAGAUAUCAGGAAGAACACCCGUGGCGAAAGCGGCUCUCUGGAACGGUACUGACGCUGAGACGCGAAAGCGUGGGGAGCGAACAGG